UACGGAGGGUGCAAGCGUUAUCCGGAUUCACUGGGUUUAAAGGGUGCGUAGGUGGGUUGGUAAGUCAGUGGUGAAAUCUCCGAGCUUAACUUGGAAACUGCCGUUGAUACUAUCAAUCUUGAAUCUCGUGGAGGUAAGCGGAAUAUGUCAUGUAGCGGUGAAAUGCUUAGAUAUGACAUAGAACACCGAUAGCGAAGGCAGCUUGCUACACGAGUAUUGACACUGAGGCACGAAAGCGUGGGGAUCAAACAGG
rnacentral:rRNA from 1 species